CCUACGGGUGGCUGCAGUGGGGAAUAUUGGACAAUGGGGGCAACCCUGAUCCAGCCAUGCCGCGUGUGUGAAGAAGGCCCUCGGGGUGUAAAGCACUUUCAGUGAGGAAGAACGCCUGGUGGUUAAUACCCAUCAGGAAAGACAUCACUCACAGAAGAAGCACCGGCUAACUCCGUGCCAGCAGCCGCGGUAAUACGGAGGGUGCGAGCGUUAAUCGGAAUUACUGGGCGUAAAGCGCGCGUAGGUGGCUUGAUAAGCCGGUUGUGAAAGCCCCGGGCUCAACCUGGGAACGGCAUCCGGAACUGUCAAGCUAGAGUGCAGGAGAGGAAGGUAGAAUUCCCGGUGUAGCGGUGAAAUGCGUAGAGAUCGGGAGGAAUACCAGUGGCGAAGGCGGCCUUCUGGACUGACACUGACACUGAGGUGCGAAAGCGUGGGUAGCAAACAGGAUUAGAUACCCUGGUAGUC
rnacentral:rRNA from 1 species